rnacentral:misc_RNA from 1 species
GAUGAAGAACGCAGUGAAAUGCGAUAACUAAUGUGAAUUGCAGAAUUCAGUGAAUCAUCGAAUCUUUGAACGCACAUUGCGCCCCUUGGUAUUCCGAGGGGCAUGCCUGUUCGAGCGUCAUUUUGACCACUCCCGCUUGCGGGGUCUUGGGCCUUCGCCUCUGGGCGGGCCUUAAAAUCAGUGGCGGUGCCGUCCGGCUCUAAGCGUAGUAAAUCUCCUCGCUAUAGGGUUCCGGAGGGAUGCUGGCCAACAACCCCCAACUUUUAAGGUUGACCUCGGAUCAGGUAGGGAUACCCGCUGAACUUAAGCAUAUCAAUAAGCGGAGGA